UACUUUUACCAUUCAGGACAUCUAGGAAUCUGUUCUUUUUUCCUUCUCUCCUAUUCCAGAUUUCUCACUCCCUCCCCCUGUCCCAUUCUCCAAUGUUAAGCAGUGAAGAAAUGGAGUUGAAUAGACUCUGAGCUGAAGCGGUAACACUGGGUGGCUGGAGACAAGUGUCCUGGGCUUGAUGAGUUUUGGGCAAUAGAAGUUUGGCUUUUCCACAAGUUAAUGACCAACAUGUGAAGAACAGAAGCAGAGACAUAGGAGAAUUGAUCAGUGAGUGGCCUUUGAGAAGAAGCAUAAACAGUAUACCAUGAGUUUGGGGAAGGGAUAUAACAAAAUCAUUCAUCUAAAAUUAUAUUGGAUAUGAUAGUAGUGAUUUUGUCUAGGCAGUGAAUUGGACAAAAUCUUG